ACGGAGGGUGCAAGCGUUGUCCGGAAUUACUGGGCGUAAAGCGCGUGUAGGCGGACUCAGAAGUCGGGUGUGAAAGCCCCGGGCUUAACUCGGGAAGUGCGCUCGAAACCAUGGGUCUUGAGAACGGGAGGGGAUCGGGGAAUUCGCAGUGUAGAGGUGAAAUGCUUAGAGAUUGGGAAGAACACCGGCGGCGAAGGCACCGAUCUGGACCAUUUCUGACGCUGAGACGCGAAAGCGUGGGUAGCAAACAG
rnacentral:rRNA from 1 species